AGUGAACGCUGGCGGUAGGCCUAACACAUGCAAGUCGAACGGCAGCACAGUAAGAGCUUGCUCUUACGGGUGGCGAGUGGCGGACGGGUGAGGAAUACAUCGGAAUCUACUUUUUCGUGGGGGAUAACGUAGGGAAACUUACGCUAAUACCGCAUACGACCUACGGGUGAAAGCAGGGGAUCUUCGGACCUUGCGCGAUUGAAUGAGCCGAUGUCGGAUUAGCUAGUUGGCGGGGUAAAGGCCUACCAAGGCGACGAUCCGUAGCUGGUCUGAGAGGAUGAUAAGCCACACUGGAACUGAGACACGGUCCAGACUCCUACGGGAGGCAGCAGUGGGGAAUAUUGGACAAUGGGCGCAAGCCUGAUCCAGCCAUACCGCGUGGGUGAAGAAGGCCUUCGGGUUGUAAAGCCCUUUUGUUGGGAAAGAAAAGCAGCAGGUUAAUACCCCGCUGUUCUGACGGUACCCAAAGAAUAAGCACCGGCUAACUUCGUG
rnacentral:rRNA from 1 species